GACGAACGCUGGCGGCGUGCUUAACACAUGCAAGUCGAACGGAAAGGCCCUGCUUUUGUUGGGUGCUCGAGUGGCGAACGGGUGAGUAACACGUGAGUAACCUGCCCUUGACUUUGUGAUAACUUCAGGAAACUGGGGCUCAUACCGGAUAGGAUCUCCUGCUGCAUGUUGUGGGUUGGAGAGUUUCGGCGGUUGGGGAUGGACUCGCGGCUUAUCAGCUUGUUGGUGUGGUAGUGGCUUACCAAGGCUUUGACGGGUAGCCGGCCUGAGAGGGUGACCGGCCACAUUGGGACUGAGAGACGGCCCAGACGCCUACGGGAGGCAGCAGUGGGGAAUAUUGCACAAUGGGCGGAAGCCUGAUGCAGCAACGCCGCGUGCGGGAUGACGGCCUUCGGGGUGUAAACCGAUUUCGCAUGUGACGAAGAGUGAGUGACGGUAAUGGGUAAAGAAGCAACGGCUAACUACGUG
rnacentral:rRNA from 1 species